rnacentral:rRNA from 1 species
GUAUGGAGCAAGCGUUAUCCGGAUUUACUGGGUGUAAAGGGAGCGUAGGCGGUCCUGCAAGUCUGAUGUGAAAGGCCGGGGCUCAACCCCGGGACUGCAUUGGAAACUGUAGGACUAGAGUGUCGGAGGGGUAAGUGGAAUUCCUAGUGUAGCGGUGAAAUGCGUAGAUAUUAGGAGGAACACCAGUGGCGAAGGCGGCUUACUGGACGACUACUGACGCUGAGGCUCGAAAGCGUGGGGAGCAAACAGGAUUAGAUACCCUGGUAGUCCCAGCCGUAAACGAUGGGCGCUAGGUGUGGGGGGAUGAGAUCCCCCGUGCCGCANCCAACGCAUUAAGCGCCCCGCCUGGGGAGUACGGCCGCAAGGCUAAAACUCAAAGGAAUUGACGGGAACUCAGCAGCCGCGGUAAUACGGAGGAUCCGAGCGUUAUCCGGAUUUAUUGGGUU